UUAAGCGACUAAGCGUACACGGUGGAUGCCCUGGCAGUCAGAGGCGAUGAAGGGCGUGCUAAUCUGCGAUAAGCGCCGGUAAGGUGAUAUGAACCGUUAUAACCGGCGAUACCCGAAUGGGGAAACCCAGUGUGAUUCGUCACACUAUCAUUAACUGAAUCCAUAGGUUAAUGAGGCGAACCGGGGGAACUGAAACAUCUAAGUACCCCGAGGAAAAGAAAUCAACCGAGAUUCCCCCAGUAGCGGCGAGCGAACGGGGAGGAGCCCAGAGCCUGAAUCAGCAUGUGUGUUAGUGGAAGCGUCUGGAAAGGCGCGCGAUACAGGGUGACAGCCCCGUACACAAAAGCGCAUGUGCUGUGAGCUCGAUGAGUAGGGCGGGACACGUGGUAUCCUGUCUGAAUAUGGGGGGACCAUCCUCCAAGGCUAAAUACUCCUGACUGACCGAUAGUGAACCAGUACCGUGAGGGAAAGGCGAAAAGAACCCCGGCGAGGGGAGUGAAAAAGAACCUGAAACCGUGUACGUACAAGCAGUGGGAGCCCCACCACCAAAGCAUUCUCUGGUGUUGAAGGCCCUGCAAAGCAGCAUCGCGGUGGCGGAGCGUCGUUUGCGACGCCCAACACACAAAACAAGCGGUGAGUGCUUUGGGGUGGGGUGACUGCGUACCUUUUGUAUAAUGGGUCAGCGACUUAUAUUCUGUAGCAAGGUUAACCGAAUAGGGGAGCCGGAGGGAAACCGAGUCUUAAUUGGGCGUUAAGUUGCAGGGUAUAGACCCGAAACCCGGUGAUCUAGCCAUGGGCAGGUUGAAGGUUGGGUAACACUAACUGGAGGACCGAACCGACUAAUGUUGAAAAAUUAGCGGAUGACCUGUGGCUGGGGGUGAAAGGCCAAUCAAACCGGGAGAUAGCUGGUUCUCCCCGAAAGCUAUUUAGGUAGCGCCUCGUGAAUUCAUCUCCGGGGGUAGAGCACUGUUUCGGCUAGGGGGCCAUCCCGGCUUACCAACCCGAUGCAAACUGCGAAUACCGGAGAAUGUUAUCACGGGAGACACACGGCGGGUGCUAACGUCCGUCGUGAAGAGGGAAACAACCCAGACCGCCAGCUAAGGUCCCAAAGUCAUGGUUAAGUGGGAAACGAUGUGGGAAGGCCCAGACAGCCAGGAUGUUGGCUUAGAAGCAGCCAUCAUUUAAAGAAAGCGUAAUAGCUCACUGGUCGAGUCGGCCUGCGCGGAAGAUGUAACGGGGCUAAACCAUGCACCGAAGCUGCGGCAGCGAACGUAUCACUUAAAGCGAUUCAGCGGGUUACGAUUGACGGAGCGAAGCGACGUCAAAGCGUAUACAAAGUCGAGUCGGUUUAAGGAUACGUUCGUUGGGUAGGGGAGCGUUCUGUAAGCCUGCGAAGGUGGCCUGUGAGGGUUGCUGGAGGUAUCAGAAGUGCGAAUGCUGACAUAAGUAACGAUAAAGCGGGUGAAAAGCCCGCUCGCCGGAAGACCAAGGGUUCCUGUCCAACGUUAAUCGGGGCAGGGUGAGUCGACCCCUAAGGCGAGGCCGAAAGGCGUAGUCGAUGGGAAACGGGUUAAUAUUCCCGUACUUGGUGUUACUGCGAAGGGGGGACGGAGAAGGCUAUGUUGGCCGGGCGACGGUUGUCCCGGUUUAAGCGUGUAGGUGUGUGUUCCAGGUAAAUCCGGUUCACUUUAACACUGAGGCGUGACGACGAGGCACUACGGUGCUGAAGCAACAAAUGCCCUGCUUCCAGGAAAAGCCUCUAAGCAUCAGGUAACAUCAAAUCGUACCCCAAACCGACACAGGUGGUCAGGUAGAGAAUACCAAGGCGCUUGAGAGAACUCGGGUGAAGGAACUAGGCAAAAUGGUGCCGUAACUUCGGGAGAAGGCACGCUGACAUGUAGGUGAAGUGAUUUACUCAUGGAGCUGAAGUCAGUCGAAGAUACCAGCUGGCUGCAACUGUUUAUUAAAAACACAGCACUGUGCAAACACGAAAGUGGACGUAUACGGUGUGACGCCUGCCCGGUGCCGGAAGGUUAAUUGAUGGGGUCAGCGCAAGCGAAGCUCCUGAUCGAAGCCCCGGUAAACGGCGGCCGUAACUAUAACGGUCCUAAGGUAGCGAAAUUCCUUGUCGGGUAAGUUCCGACCUGCACGAAUGGCGUAAUGAUGGCCAGGCUGUCUCCACCCGAGACUCAGUGAAAUUGAACUCGCUGUGAAGAUGCAGUGUACCCGCGGCAAGACGGAAAGACCCCGUGAACCUUUACUAUAGCUUGACACUGAACAUUGAGCCUUGAUGUGUAGGAUAGGUGGGAGGCUUUGAAGUGUGGACGCCAGUCUGCAUGGAGCCGACCUUGAAAUACCACCCUUUAAUGUUUGAUGUUCUAACGUGGACCCGUAAUCCGGGUUGCGGACAGUGUCUGGUGGGUAGUUUGACUGGGGCGGUCUCCUCCUAAAGAGUAACGGAGGAGCACGAAGGUUGGCUAAUCCUGGUCGGACAUCAGGAGGUUAGUGCAAUGGCAUAAGCCAGCUUGACUGCGAGCGUGACGGCGCGAGCAGGUGCGAAAGCAGGUCAUAGUGAUCCGGUGGUUCUGAAUGGAAGGGCCAUCGCUCAACGGAUAAAAGGUACUCCGGGGAUAACAGGCUGAUACCGCCCAAGAGUUCAUAUCGACGGCGGUGUUUGGCACCUCGAUGUCGGCUCAUCACAUCCUGGGGCUGAAGUAGGUCCCAAGGGUAUGGCUGUUCGCCAUUUAAAGUGGUACGCGAGCUGGGUUUAGAACGUCGUGAGACAGUUCGGUCCCUAUCUGCCGUGGGCGCUGGAGAACUGAGGGGGGCUGCUCCUAGUACGAGAGGACCGGAGUGGACGCAUCACUGGUGUUCGGGUUGUCAUGCCAAUGGCACUGCCCGGUAGCUAAAUGCGGAAGAGAUAAGUGCUGAAAGCAUCUAAGCACGAAACUUGCCCCGAGAUGAGUUCUCCCUGAGACUUAGAGUCUCCUGAAGGAACGUUGAAGACGACGACGUUGAUAGGCCGGGUGUGUAAGCGCAGCGAUGCGUUGAGCUAACCGGUACUAAUGAACCGUGAGGCUUAACCUU
rnacentral:rRNA from 1 species